UUUUUUUUUAUUUUCAUAUGAUAUGUAGAGACACAAUUUCCUAAUAAACCCAUAUACCUUUUUUUUUUUUUUUGUCGUUGCUACAGUUGUUGUUGUCUCUGUCGUCACCGUAGACUUUAUUGCCAUUGUCACCAUUGUCGGAAGAGUCGUUGGAGCACUUGUUCAGGUUAACGACUCCACUGUCGUGGCUAGUCGUAUUCGGAGCUCCAAUGUGCCCUCACGUGACACCUAUCCUCAUGCUCGUGGAGUCUUUUUAUAUCGCGCAUGGCAACAAAAACCACCACCGUCGAACAGUCAAACUCGCC
rnacentral:lncRNA from 1 species